GAUGAACGCUGGCGGCGUGCUUAAUACAUGCAAGUCGAACGGAGACGUUAUAGCAAUAUGAUGUCUUAGUGGCGAACGGGUGAGUAACGCGUUGGUGCCCUGCCCCGAAGUGCGGGAUAACAGUUCGAAAGGGCUGCUAAUACCUCAUGUGGUCUUAAGGGUUAGAGACCUCAAGACUAAAGGAGCAAUUCGCUUCGGGAGGGGCCUGCGUCCCAUCAGCUAGUUGGUAGGGUAAUGGCCUACCAAGGCUACGACGGGUAGGGGACCUGAGAGGGUGAUCCCCCACACUGGCACUGAAACACGGGCCAGACACCUACGGGUGGCAGCAGUAGGGAAUAUUGCACAAUGGGCGAAAGCCUGAUGCAGCAACGCCGCGUGCGCGAUGAAGGCCUUCGGGUCGUAAAGCGCUUUUCGGGGAGAUGAGGAAGGACAGUAUCCCCGGAAUAAGGCUCGGCUAACUACGUGCCAGCCGCCGCGGUAAGAC
rnacentral:rRNA from 1 species